UUCUCUUGAGAGCGGCGGACGGGUGAGUAAUGCCUAGGAAUCUGCCUGGUAGUGGGGGAUAACGUUCGGAAACGAACGCUAAUACCGCAUACGUCCUACGGGAGAAAGCAGGGGACCUUCGGGCCUUGCGCUAUCAGAUGAGCCUAGGUCGGAUUAGCUAGUUGGUGAGGUAAUGGCUCACCAAGGCGACGAUCCGUAACUGGUCUGAGAGGAUGAUCAGUCACACUGGAACUGAGACACGGUCCAGACUCCUACGGGAGGCAGCAGUGGGGAAUAUUGGACAAUGGGCGAAAGCCUGAUCCAGCCAUGCCGCGUGUGUGAAGAAGGUCUUCGGAUUGUAAAGCACUUUAAGUUGGGAGGAAGGGCAUUAACCUAAUACGUUAGUGUUUUGACGUUACCGACAGAAUAAGCACCGGCUAACUCUGUGCCAGCAGCCGCGGUAAUACAGAGGGUGCAAGCGUUAAUCGGAAUUACUGGGCGUAAAGCGCGCGUAGGUGGUUUGUUAAGUUGGAUGUGAAAUCCCCGGGCUCAACCUGGGAACUGCAUUCAAAACUGACUGACUAGAGUAUGGUAGAGGGUGGUGGAAUUUCCUGUGUAGCGGUGAAAUGC
rnacentral:rRNA from 1 species